CCCUUAGAUGUUCGGGGCCGCACGCGCGCUACACUGAAUGAAUCAGCGAGUGUAUGUCCUAGGCCGAAAGGUCCGGGUAACCCGUUGAACCUCAUUCGUGAUUGGGAUAGGGACUUGCAAUUGUUUCCCUUGAACGAGGAAUUCCCAGUAAGCGCGAGUCAUAAGCUCGCGUUGAUUACGUCCCUGCCCUUUGUACACACCGCCCGUCGCUACUACCGAUUGAACGGUUUAGUGAGGGCCUCGGAUUGGUCUCGGCCCGCUCUUUACCGGGCGGCGCCGUUGGUCGAGAAGACGCUCGAACUUGAUCGUUUAGAGGAAGUAAAAGUCGUAACA
rnacentral:rRNA from 1 species